AUUGAACGCUGGCGGCAUGCUUUACACAUGCAAGUCGAACGGCAGCGCGGGCUUCGGCCUGGCGGCGAGUGGCGAACGGGUGAGUAAUGCAUCGGAACGUGCCCAGUAGUGGGGGAUAGCCCGGCGAAAGCCGGAUUAAUACCGCAUACGACCUGAGGGUGAAAGCGGGGGACGGAAAGGCCUCGCGCGAUUGGAGGGGCCGAUGUCGGAUUAGCUAGUUGGUGGGGUAAAGGCUUACCAAGGCGACGAUCCGUAGCUGGUCUGAGAGGACGACCAGCCACACUGGGACUGAGACACGGCCCAGACUCCUACGGGAGGCAGCAGUGGGGAAUUUUGGACAAUGGGGGCAACCCUGAUCCAGCCAUGCCGCGUGCGGGAAGAAGGCCUUCGGGUUGUAAACCGCUUUUGUUCGGGAAGAAAUCCUCUGGGCUAAUACCCCGGGGGGAUGACGGUACCGGAAGAAUAAGCGCCGGCUAACUACGUG
rnacentral:rRNA from 1 species